AAUCGCCGUUCGCCCUGAUCUCCUUUAGAGCGAGCAGCAGAGCGUCGCCGAGAUCUGUUUCAUCCUUGCGAAACGCAAUGCCACUCGGCAUUCGGGGUAGAAUUUGC
rnacentral:sRNA from 1 species